AAAUUGAAGAGUUUGAUCAUGGCUCAGAUUGAACGCUGGCGGCAGGCCUAACACAUGCAAGUCGAGCGGUAGCACAGAGAGCUUGCUCUCGGGUGACGAGCGGCGGACGGGUGAGUAAUGUCUGGGAAACUGCCUGAUGGAGGGGGAUAACUACUGGAAACGGUAGCUAAUACCGCAUAACGUCGCAAGACUCAAGUGGGGGACCUUCGGGCCUCAUGCCAUCAGAUGUGCCCAGCUGGGAUUAGCUGGUAGGUGGGGUAACGGCUCACCUAGGCGACGACCCCUAGCUCGUCUGAGAGGAUGAC
rnacentral:rRNA from 1 species